AAAGCUCCCUGGUCUGAGCAAGUGCUAGUGAGCUUAGCGCAGAGGACAGAGAACUACUGACAGCUUAUCAUCACAGUUUUGAUGAAAAGGUGGAUCUGGACCUCAUUAUGCACUCACUUCAUAACAUCUGUCAUAGUUGUGAGACCGGAGCGAUUUUAAUAUUUCUUCCUGGAUAUGAUGAGAUAGCUUGAGGGACCGCAUUCUUUUUGAUGACAGGAGAUUUGCUGACCAUGCGCACAGAUUCUUUCUACAAAUACAGCAGAAACCAGCAUAACAGUCAAUGAUGUGGUAUUUGUUAUUGGCUCAGGCAAGGUGAAAGAGAAGUCUUUUGAUGCACUGAGUUGUGUUACAAUGCUGAAAAUGGUGUGGAUUUCAAAAGCCAGUGCUAUCUAGAGAAAAGGCAGCUAUUAACAAGUCAUCUACAUUCUGAAUCAGGACAGCCCCUUCUCUCAAUUGAAAACCUGUAAGUAACUGCUCCAGUGCCUGGCCAAAUAAAUUAGGGGACUCUGUAAACCCUUGUGGGAGUACCCUGUGGGUGUCUGGGUCUUCCCAUUCAAAGGCAAAAUAGUCCCUACAACUCUCU